rnacentral:lncRNA from 1 species
GAAAUUUUCAGAGGCCAGUCUAUAUCAAAGUUGGUAUAUAUAUAUAACGGACCCUCUUGCUUUCUUUCAUCCAUAUUAGUUAAGUAGCAGUAUACCAAGUAUCAAAAAGGAAUCUCUAAAUCAUUAGAAGUUAGUAUUUUAAUAUAAAUUAUUGAAUUAAACAUAAUGUUAUUGCCUCAGCCAUGACCUCGAACUUCCCAGACCAGAGGGAAUUGUAUUAAGUCCAGGAAUACAAAAAAGGUACUCGGAGGCCUCCUGAGUUUGUUUAGAACUUUCUUAUCUGCCUUCCACUUCUGGGUCUACCUUGUAUCUACUUUGGUGAAUGUCUUUCUCUUCCCAGCUUCCAUGAAAUUGAAAAGAUAAUCACAAUACAUUACUUUGACAUCUCAAAGGAAGUGAAGCAAAGAGUGAGAAAGUUGAGUUUGUACAACUAUUUUCUUCUUCUUAGUUAUUAGAAAGAAAAAUACAGAUGUUGUCAAUGUUCGUUAGAUGUCAUCUAACUACUAAUUUCUCAGUGUAUAAUUUUUUGAAACAUGACUACAUUACAUGGUUCUUAUGAAAAAUCAAAAUGAAAUGUCACUCACUUCAUUUUCUAUCGACUACAGAUUGGAAAGUCACUCUUCCAUAUAUUGAAUGUUUCAUUGACAUGUACGCGUAUCCUUAAUGAUCUAAGUUGCCAGCAUUCUGAUCUUGGUUGCUUACAAUAGGAGCUUCAUAUUCCAAUACAUUUUUGUGAAUUAAGCUAUGGAAGAACAUACAUUACAGGGAUACAAAAGGCUGGAUCCAUCCCGUGACUAAGGAGAAAUAUGUAAUGAAACUAGUCUUAUCAAAAUUUUGGAACUUGGCUAGGCUUUUUAUUUUGGAUUCCAUUAUGGUUUAGACUGUGUUUUUAUAGUUGGUAUUGGAAUUGACUUGUAAAGAUGCUAUAUAUUAUUUUGCCUUGUAAAUAUUUUGCUAGAGGCUUUUGGUUGUGACUA